AAAAACACUGUGGCAGGAAAUCUGAUAGUGCACCUGAAGAAUUCCUUAAGAAUUGCUUGAAAGAAAACAUAAAUAAAUACAUGCAUUAACUGCUGUAGCAGUCCUUGAAGGAUUUUCCGAAGGAAUCCCUGAAGGAAUCCCGGGAGCAAUUUUCGAAAAUUUUCCUUAAGAAAUGCUUGCACUAGUUUUAAGCAAUUGAUUUAGAUUGAAACAAUUUCGAGAAUUUCUUUCUAUUAAAAAUCCGAAAAUAAUUUGGUAAAUCCCAACCAUCCCAAAGGAAACUGUGGCGAUAUUCCUGGAGGUACUUAUGGAGAAAAUUCUAAAGAAAAAAAAUUCCCGGGAGAAUCUGACUCUGACUUUACCAUGAUGGCACUGCAAAUGUUUGGUGGCACUGUCUUAUAAUGCGAUGUUUCAAAUUAAUAUUAUUUCAAUCAGAAUACAAUCUAUUCAGUCGACUAAACCAAUGUCUACCACUGUAUCGAAUACUCUCAAUUCUAUUUUCAGCAACCUUUACUUGUGCAGAUAAGGACAUUACAAUGUAACCAACGUAGCAGCGUGUUCUCGUACGGUAAUACCACUGAGUAGACGAUCGGAUAACACAUACCUACUUCACAUUGUACACUGCAGGUGGUAGACGCUAUAACGCCAAACGAUGAAACCUUGACUGAUCGUGUUUUCUAAUUUGAGUCAAGGCUAAAGAUUGUUGGCAGUAGUAUCGCUGAUGUUCUCCUAGUGGAAGCAUUGGGAUUACUUUUUUUCGAGCAUGUUUCAACACGAAAACGUUAUAAUUGGCUCAUCAACACUGGACUGUAUUACACCACAGACUCCUGAUUCAAAGUGACUCAUACCUUUCUGUCAUUCGCAGAGGCGUGCAUGAAAAGUGAGUUCUACGAAUUGAAUUAAACACAAAGUAACAAUUCGUCGACAAAUACAGAACAGUGAUCACUGAAUCAUGAUUAUUUUUGGAAAUGUACAUCUAUUUCACCAUUGAACGCAAAAUUUUUUUAGUUUGCUCUUUCUGAUGCAAUGCAUAAAAUCUUGAAAAGACAUGAUUCUACAUGGAAUGACAUGAUUGAAUAUAGCUGACUAUAUAAUGAGCGCAGCACAGUGCAAUCUUUACUCAAUCUUUCUCCAACUAUCGGGAGGAUAGCAUCCCAAACUACCAUAUCAGCAAUCAGUCAGAACGAUUUGUCCACAAUUAGUGGGUACUGGUUCGAAAGUGUGAUCCAAGUUGUGAUAAGAAAACCGUUUAUCUUCAACUAAAAAUGGCUUCAUCACAAGCAACCCAAAAAGAUGAAAUCAAGUCAAAGCUUCAUAAAUUCCUGCAAGAUCUGGAAAUUCUUCAAAACCUUCAAAACGAGCUGGACGAAUCAAAACUGGCUCAGCAAAACAUUCUGAACGAUAUUGAAAAAUAUUCCAGCUACAAAAGAACCAGGGAAGUGGAAUGGGUAGAACACGUGCCAUCCGAUUUCUACAGCAGAAUUUGUUCAUCUUGUGCGCGGAUCUGCUACGAAGAUUGGGUAUCUACGUCUUCAAUAUCUGGAUUUUUGGUUUCAACAACAGCUCAUAGUGUGAUCAACUUCGUGGGUAAUUUAUUUCAAACGAUCAUUGGUGCACCUGGCUGUGAUAAAUGCAAAUGCUCACGCUUUCUUCAUUAUGACGAUUCAACGAAGCCAGUCAGAAAAACAAAAACCAUUGAAAAUAUUCUCUACGACGUGAAAGCAGUCUAUGAUCAGAGCAAAAGCAAGAAUGCUGAAGUAAAUAACAAAAUUAGUGAGCUGAGCGAAGAUAUUGCUGCAUUGAAUAAAGCCUUGGAUGCAAAAGAAGCAGCCAUCAGAAGGUGUUGCGAAGAUCUUAAGAAGGUCAGCUCUCAAGAAGACUUGAGUGGAGAGUUGAAAAGUGUGAUUGAUAUUAUGCAAAAGAUGGCCAACAAAAUAAAACCAACUACGGCAAGGAAAAUCGCUGAUGAUAGAAUCCGUAGAAUCAAACAAGUAAUUCAAGGAUAGUCUUGAGGUACCCUGAUUUAUGGCUCAUUUGUUUCACAUGCAGAAUUUGAACUUUAUUACUUACUUGUUUAUUGCCUAACUUUAUUCUACUCUACUAUAUUCUAUUUUAUAUUGAUAUUAUCGAUUCACACUAACCCCUCUGUAAGCAAUUGCUCAAGCGAAAAGGACAAAUGGAUAAGGACUCACGGCAACACCAAAUGGACUUCUCUUCGGAUUGGCUGAUAUGGAACAACAGAACCAACACCACGCCUCGAUCUCUUUCUUCUACUAUCGAAAAAGUAAAAUAGGAAACAGUAUCGUUCCUUUCAGUACCAAUGUGCAGUAGUAAAUGCGUCUUUAACUCAAGUUGGACCUGUAGAUUAGGAUAAGUAUAUAUAAAAAAUAUAUUGUAUCUUCCACCGACUUUCCGAGCCA